UUCCUCUGUGGCCCACCUGUGGUUGGCCUGUGUUGACGAUGAUCAACACUCACUUGACCCCGCAGGAACCACCUCCUAACUGAGCCCCUCAUUUCCACCCGAAGGGUCCUCAGGCGUCUGUGACCUAAAGUCGGGCGAGGCCAGGGCUUCAAGGGUCCCUCCAGUCCACCCCCCCCCCCCCCCCCUCCCCGACCCUCAGGUACUUCAUUCAAUAGAGGAAGGAGCGCAGAGAAACGUGGCUGAAUCAAGGGGCCUGCCAGCCUAUGGACCAGUUUUAAGCCGGAAAGUGACAGUCACCCUUGCAACACAGGCUGCUCCUAUGGCAACUGCCGCAAAACAAGAUGAGGCUUCCACCCUGCUGGGGAACACGAAGCCUCCGAAGAAAGACAAAUCCUGCUGCCUUCCACAGGUGUGACCCUCCCUUUUAAAGAAUCUGCCUGCAAUGCAGAAGACCUGGGUUCGACCCCUGGGUCAGGAAGAUCCCCUGGAGAAGGGAAUGACUAACCACUCCAGUAUUCUUUCCUGGAGAAUUCCAUGGACAGAGGAGCCUGGAGGGCUACAGUCCAUGGGAUCACAAAGUGUCAGACAUGACUGAGUGACUAACACACACACACAGGAAGGGAGGGCCUGGUGAGCAGGCCUUGAAGAAAGACCAGCAUGACAAGGCAUGAUGAAGUGCUGCAUGAUGAAGUCCAGCAUGAUGAAGCAUGAUGAAGCAUGGUGCUAACUCAACUGAAAAAAAUUUUUUAAGUAAGCCCUUCCCUUUGGGUUAACGCUUAUUUCAAUGUUAUGUGGCAGCCUGGAUGGGAGAGGAGUUUGGGGGAGAAUGUACACAUGUAUAUGAAUGGCAGAGUCCCUUUGCUGUCCAGUUGAAACUAUCAUAAUACUGUUAAUUAGCUAUGCUUCAAAUAUAAAAU